rnacentral:lncRNA from 1 species
GCCUCCGUCCCUGGAGUGCUCUAAAUCUUCUCCUUAGAGCAACUGGCUGGGAAGAUGGCAGAGAGCAUCUGCUCCAGGAGGGGAGGCCGCUCCCCGCCUCGCGCACGAGACCUCAGAUGCAAUCUCUGCAUUUUGCAGGCCCUGGGUGAUGUGUUCAGCUGCACAAAAACAGCAGAUUUCUGCACAUGCUUCCCUCCCAGGCACGCAUGUGCUGAUUGCCAAAUAAUUGACCCAGUUAUGCUAAUAUGCUGUUUGCCUCGCUGGAACUUAAUAAAUACAUAUAUAAUCAAUCUUAACACUUUUUCUUGAGCCACGCACCAGUUCGAUCAGCUGCUGCUUCAGUAGUUUUGCUGGCUCCAACCCAAGGAGCAGAGCCAUACCUGUGCUGGAGGGAAGAGGGGGCAGUCCCCUGGGUAGGUGCAAAUGAGGCCACACCAAGGAGCUCUGAGAGCUGAUCUUGCAGGAAUAACUGGGAGCAAAACUGGCUUUGCAGAUCCCAAACACAGCCUGUAAGUUGUGGACGUGGUCGGUGGAGCUGACGUAUGUAAGUGCGGUGACUUUCCCUACCCAGCCAUCAUCCCAGCCUUGUGCAGAUGGAAACUCAGCGAGUUUCUUGUCAUCAAGCCCCCGGUUUCAGUCUGACAAUGGGAACAGCAUCAUCUGUGUCAUGUAUGUUGGAAGCAAUGAAUAGAGAGCUGAGCUCACUCAUCUAUUUGCAUUCUGAAAAUAUGCAAAAAAAACCUGUCUCCUUGCUUACUCUCCUGCCCACUCAAUAUCUGUGAAACAAGGAGGAGAAUAUGGGCUGCCUUGUACUUCUGAUCUCAGUGCCCUUGAAUAAAGGAGCAAUUCCUCAGCGCAGCCUUCUGGGAUGAGCGUGAACAUCAGAGCCACGAUGGCAGCAAAAGCUCUCCAUCAAUGCAGGCUGGUGGGCAAAAGGCAGCUCCUGGGUGAGGAGUGCUCAUCAUCAUGGACACCUUGGCUUGAUGUCACCAGGGCACCUUCUCCCCUCCACAUCCGAAUCAGCACUUGGCUCUCUAGGGCACGUAGGUCUGACCUGCCAACUGUUAAACGAAUUACAGCGCGCUCCCCCCAAUCUAUUAGCAUGGAACUGCACACGUCCAUGGGAGAGACAGGCGGAGGACACAGCAGUUCUGAGAGCAACGGGCUGUAGGAGGCUUUCCUUUUGGAUGGAGUUGAAUGAAUCGGCACUGGGCUGCGACUCCACGCUCAGGGUUUGCCUCAUCACUCAGCAGCCCAUGGAUUCUCUUGCUUUUAAUUUGAACAGCUACUUCUCCUCCAGGUUAUGGCUGUCUGAGGCAGCAGAAGCAUCCUCCAGACCGGGCUUUAAGGGCUGGAAUUUACAUGCUUUUUUCUUCUGCUUUCUGGUAUUAAUUUCAUAUGCAGUGGGAAAGUAAUAUCCUGUCUGUCACUGCAGAGGAAGGGCUGUGCGUGCGUCUAUGCACAGUCACUGCUAACUGUUGAGCUCUUUCACUCCAAGUCCGUUUUUGUGAAGAUUUCUAAAUUAAAGCCAAAAUCAGCUGCAGAAAUGAUGAAUGUGAGCUACCAGCAAGGCAAAAUCGGGAGAUGUUUGCUCUUGUUUUCGUAACUCGUGGUCUUUGUGUGUAAGAGUGGAUUGCAUGGCAACUGCAUUCACACUUCUCUUUAAUAAAAGAUCCUAGCAGAUGGACCCACUAUUAACGUGUAUCCCCCAGAUCUGCAUAUUCCGUGUUCAUGCCAGGAUGGCACUGAGCACACACGGGGUGAACGAGGCC